rnacentral:rRNA from 1 species
GACGGGCCCGCACAAGCAGCGGAGCGUGUGGUUUAAUUCGAUGCUACACGAAGAACCUUACCUGGGUUUGACAUGUACGUAGUAGUGAACCGAAAGGGAACGAGCCUUCGGGCAGCGUACACAGGUGCUGCAUGGCUGUCGUCAGCUCGUGCCGUGAGGUGUUGGGUUAAGUCCCGCAACGAGCGCAACCCUCAUCGCUAGUUACAUGUGUCUAGCGAGACUGCGGGUUAACCCUGGAGAAGGUGGGGAUGACGUCAAGUCAGCAUGGCCUUUAUGCCCAGGGCUACACACACGCUACAAUGGUCGGUACAAUGGGAUGCCAAGCCGUGAGGCGGAGCAAAUCCUCAAAGCCGGCCUCAGUUCGAAUUGGAGGCUGCAACUCGCCUCCAUGAAGUCGGAGUUGCUAGUAACCGCAGGUCAGCUAUACUGCGGUGAAUACGUUCCCGGGGCUU